AUUGAACGCUGGCGACAUGCCUUACACAUGCGAGUCGAACGGCAGCACGGGUGCUUGCACCUGGUGGCGAGUGGCGAACGGGUGAGUAAUACAUCGGAACAUGUCCUGUAGUGGGGGAUAGCCCGGCGAAAGCCGGAUUAAUACCGCAUACGAUCUACGGAUGAAAGCGGGGGACCUUCGGGCCUCGCGCUAUAGGGUUGGCCGAUGGCUGAUUAGCUAGUUGGUGGGGUAAAGGCCUACCAAGGCGACGAUCAGUAGCUGGUCUGAGAGGACGACCAGUCACACUGGGACUGAGACACGGCCCAGACUCCUACGGGAGGCAGCAGUGGGGAAUUUUGGACAAUGGGCGAAAGCCUGAUCCAGCAAUGCCGCGUGUGUGAAGAAGGCCUUCGGGUUGUAAAGCACUUUUGUCCGGAAAGAAAUCCUUGGCCCUAAUACGGUCGGGGGAUGACGGUACCGGAAGAAUAAGCACCGGCUAACUACGUG
rnacentral:rRNA from 1 species